CCUACGGGGCGCAGCAGUGGGGAAUAUUGGACAAUGGGCGAAAGCCUGAUCCAGCCAUGCCGCGUGUGUGAAGAAGGCCUUCGGGUUGUAAAGCACUUUCAGUGGGGAAGAAAGCCUUGGGGCUAAUACCCUCGAGGAAGGACAUCACCCACAGAAGAAGCACCGGCUAACUCCAUGCCAGCAGCCGCGGUAAUACGGAGGGUGCGAGCGUUAAUCGGAAUUACUGGGCGUAAAGCGCGCGUAGGCGGUCUGAUAAGCCGGUUGUGAAAGCCCCGGGCUCAACCUGGGAACGGCAUCCGGAACUGUCAGGCUAGAGUGCAGGAGAGGAAGGUAGAAUUCCCGGUGUAGCGGUGAAAUGCGUAGAGAUCGGGAGGAAUACCAGUGGCGAAGGCGGCCUUCUGGACUGACACUGACGCUGAGGUGCGAAAGCGUGGGUAGCAAACAGGAUUAGAUACCCCGGUAGUC
rnacentral:rRNA from 1 species